GACAGAGGGUGCAAACGUUGUUCGGAAUUACUGGGCGUAAGGCGUGUGUAGGCGGCCGGGCAAGUCGGAUGUGAAAGCCCAGGGCUCAACCCUGGAAGUGCACUCGAUACUGCUUGGCUAGAGUGUCGGAGAGGUUGGUGGAAUUCUCGGUGUAGAGGUGAAAUUCGUAGAUAUCGAGAGGAACACCGGUGGCGAAGGCGGCCAACUGGACGAACACUGACGCUGAGACACGAAAGCGUGGGGAGCAAACAGG
rnacentral:rRNA from 1 species